AUUGAACGCUGGCGGCGUGCUUAACACAUGCAAGUCGUGCGGUAACAGGCGUAGCAAUACGUGCUGACGAGCGGCGAACGGGUGCGUAAUACAUGGGAAUCUGCCCUUUAGUGGGGAAUAACCCGGCGAAAGCCGGGCUAAUGCCGCAUAGGAUCUUCGGAUGAAAGCGGGGAUCGUAAGACCUCGCGCUGAUGGAUGAGCCCAUGUCGGAUUAGCAGUUGGUGAGGUAACGGCUCACCAAGGCGACGAUCCGUAGCUGGUCUGAGAGGACGGCCAGCCACACUGGGACUGAGAC
rnacentral:rRNA from 1 species